GAUAAGUAAUGUGAAUUGCAGAAUUCAGUGAAUCAUCGAAUCUUUGAACGCACAUUGCGCCCUGUGGUAUUCCGCAGGGCAUGCCUGUUCGAGCGUCAUUU
rnacentral:rRNA from 1 species